UACGUAGGGUGCGAGCGUUGUCCGGAAUUAUUGGGCGUAAAGAGCUUGUAGGCGGUUUGUCGCGUCUGCCGUGAAAAUCCGGGGGCUCAACCCCGGACUUGCGGUGGGUACGGGCAGACUAGAGUGUGGUAGGGGAGACUGGAAUUCCUGGUGUAGCGGUGAAAUGCGCAGAUAUCAGGAGGAACACCGAUGGCGAAGGCAGGUCUCUGGGCCACUACUGACGCUGAGAAGCGAAAGCGUGGGGAGCGAACAGG
rnacentral:rRNA from 1 species